GUGCACAUGAUGGAAAAAUUUUAAUCUCCUGAGACUUGUGAUGUCUUCAAAGGAACCACUGAUGCAC
ensembl:snoRNA SNORD42 Small nucleolar RNA SNORD42